UCCAAUUUGAGUACAUUGUUGGCGACGUUGCACAGCGAGAGAGUGACAGGCGGCGACUCUCGGAUGGAGCCACGGUGCUCAUGCGCAACGUGCACAUAUAUUUGUGUGGCGUGCACCCCAAAAACUUGGUAUAAAUAGGAGUAUCCACAGAACCAUUCCUGCACACCUCCUAAGUAUCUCCCUUUCAAUUUCUGAUUGAGGCAGUCCAUCCCGAGGCAGUCUCUGAAGUUUCUACUCCCGAAUCAACCCUACAUCAACGAAUCAAGAUAAUAGGGUGAGUUCACGACCCUACCUUUACUGUUUUUACAAGUUUACGUAGGGAAUACAUGUUAUAAGACUACUUUAUCGAUUUUUACAAAACGGUUAUUAUUUGUAAUAUAUUAGUAAUUUAUACAAAUACAUGAAACGUUAGGAUAAUAUUAUGACCGGUAGUUACCCUGCCUAAACUUUAGGAAUAAUACUAUGCCUAGUGGUUAUGCUGCCUAAAGCUAUAUUAAAAGAUUUCUGCUAGUUGUUAUGUUGGCUUAUACCGUAGGAUAACAUACUACCUAAUCGUCAUGCUAGCCAAACAUAAGGAUAAACAAUGUAAUUAGUUGUUACUCUGCCCUAAUAUCCUAUCAAAUAAUAUCAAUAUAUAUAUGGUCCAUUGGUAUAGCCUAGACUGCUCCAGCGCGCCAGCCUGGCCUGGCGCGCUCCUGGCGCGCUCCUGUCAGCCCUGCCUGGCGUUCCCUUGCCAGCCCUGCCUGGCGUUCCCUUGUCAGCCCUGCUGGGGACUCUCCUGCCGGCUCGGCCAGGCGCUCCCUCGCCUGGCACUCCCUUGCCAUCCUUUCCUGGUGCGCGCCCGCCAGCCUCUCCCGGCGCCUCCGGGCGGCCUCACCCAGCUCCUUGCUAGUUGGGCCUGAUUUGGAUAGGCCCAAGGUCUGACCUAAUUGUCCCAUAUAUAAUGAACCGUACCUUCUCCAUGAUUGAGGGGGACUCUCUCCUAGGUGGUUCAGCCACCACUAGACCCUUCCCUAGAUCUUCCCCCAUGGCUCAACCGCCACUAUAUUCCGGCCGGGUGGCUCAGUCGCCACCCGCGACCAUCAGCCACCAUACACCACCACCAGCACCAAGAUGGUUCUCUCCAGCCAUGGAGGACCAUCUCAAAUCUUCUAGCUGAUCUAACUUGACCGUCGGAGCCCGCUCCCGGGGCACAGUGCCUGGGGCGGCUCUAACGAUAUUGUACUGUGAUCUCAGAUCUCCGCUGCAGCAGAAGACCAGAGGAGCCGCCAUAGGUCGAUGUCGCAUCAUUUGGCGCCAUCCCGGAUUCGAGCAAGUAGCAAAAGCCUUAGUCGCUUUCAAGCUCGUUUUUCCUCAGAUCUAAUGUGUUUUCAUCUCAGGUUUCUUCAGAUCUGUUGAUCUCUAGUAUGAUUUGGUCAAUUAUGUUCAUGUUUGGCAUAAAUUUGUUCAGAUCCGUUUGGCUUUUGCCAAGAUCUGUUCAGAUCAAUGUGUUUCUUGACAAGAUGUCUUCAGAUCUAUUAAGCCAUCGUUUAGAUCUCAAGAUCUAUUUCAUUUUCAGUUCAGAUUUCUUGAGGUAUUUUCGUUUUUCAGCUCAGAUCUCUAGAUAUGAAAGUUUUUGUUCACUUAAUCAUCUCUCAAGUUUAAAAACAGCAACUCAGACCCGUUUUAAAUAUAUUUUCGGGGAGAGAAGAGGUUUUCAGGAGCUCCUCUCUAUUUUUAUGUUCAUAUUUUGGUGUUUUAUGGAACAACUCGACAGUUGAAGAACUUUUUGGUAGAUAUUUACUUUAUUUUGAGUUUAUGUUAUGAAGAAAUCACCUUCGGUUUACGGUUUUCUUUAGGUGCUUAGAAAAGAAAACGAAAAUUUCUUAGAUAUGUUUGUUGUUCAUACUUUAAUGACUUGAUGAGCAAGUUGAAAAGAAAAAAAAAAGUUCAUGAGGAGAAAACCUCAUCAGAUCUCGUUUUUGUUUAUAUCUUAAAGGUUGAGAAAGAAAAGAAGUUUUAUGAGUUUUAAACCCACUUUCAUCAGCUCUUAAGAUCAGAAAAAAUCAUUUGUUAGUUGGUUUUUUCAGUAUAUAACUCCAUUUUACAACUUCGGCUCUUGUAUUCAUUUGCAUUUUGGUGAUUUCUUGAGCAUUGAAAAGGAAAGAGGUUUCUACGGUUCAUAAACCAUCCUUUUUGUUCAAAUUGAGAAGAAAAUCCGUUUUUUAGAUAAGGAAAUUUGUAUGUUUUUUACCAAUUUUGACAGCUUCCUGUAAACAUAGCUAUGUUUCUUGUACAUUACAAAAAAAAAAAAAGAGAGAGGAAAAAUAACUUAAGCUCAUAAUCUUUUAUAAAUCUCUAUCUCUGUAAUUAUUUUGCUUGUACACAAAGCUAUGUCCAUUGUACACUUCUUAAAACCCCCAAAAAUUCGUUUAUCCCUUCUCACCAAAACCACCUGACCACAUUUUGUUAUUUUUAACUCAAAGAUUUAUUCUAGCCUCUCCAAUUUACUGCUCAAAAAACAACAAAAAAAGAAAGUAAGAAGAGACUUCUGGAAAUAAUGUGUAGAAAGAGGCGUAAUAAAGAAAGGGGGGUGUAUAGUGUACCCAGAUAAAAAGGAAGAAGACAAAAUACAGCUGGUGUGUCAUAUGCAGCGUAAGUGUAGGUGGGAUCCAAGCAUUUUGAAAGAUACAGAAGAGGCAAAAUGGGGCGCAUUUGGUCAACGCUCCUUUGGAGUAACCCGACUCACCCUUUCCAUUCAACCGACAACAACCACCAGAUCGGGCGUACCGAUGACCCAACAACAUCGUCUUCCUGUGUAGACGGACUCCAAUGAGGAACACAAAAAUAAAAAACAAUCAUAACCAGGGAUUUCAACCACCAGUCGCUACUAGUUCCAGGCACCCGACGAGGCACCACCGGCCUUUCCUUUUCGUGACCUGCUGAAGACAGCCGGAGCCGGGGACCGCCGAUCACUCGUCGGGACCAAAUGACAGCAGAUCCGAAGCAAAUAACCACAGGGGCCUCUCCAUUGACCCAUCAAUCAAAAACAAGCCAUCACCAACCUAUAGCUCCGACGAGCGAGCUCUGGAGGCAACAGUCUCUUGGCGACCCAAAACAAUCUCUGGCCCCGGCGUUUUUGUUUAAUCAAUAUUGGAUGAAAUUACAACACCGCCACUUAACCUCCGCGCCCCUGUGUCCAAUUAACCACCGCAUACGCCGGACGGUCGAAGAACCUCGGUCUCUAAGAGCUGCUCCCUCUGCCAGACUACCUGUCAUCGCCUCAUCACUACCGGCAACCCAACACGCCAAUGUCGCUGCCGGAAUCGCUGCUCUGUUUUCUUUCUCCGCCAUCGUCUCCAGGCAACGAACCACCGGGAAAGGCCGGCAAGAUGUCUAGGACACACAAGAUACCCAAUCACCGACGUGUUCCUUUUUGGCUCCCCACUUGAGAGAUUGGGAAAAUAAGAUGUUGGCUGGAAUCCUUCUAUCCCCAAGACGCAACAAAUGAGAAAACCAAUGGGCCCAAAGCUGGCCAGCCCAUAUGCGCACCAUAUAAUAAAAAAACAAUUGGGCUAAUUAUCUUUACACAAAUGUACUGUGGUUAUUGUGGGCUCCUCCUAAAAAUUGGCCAUAUGAUAUCGGUCAAUUUUUAACAAGCCUUAUUUUACCAAUUAGCCGCUCAUUGCUUUCUUGCUGUGAUUUGACCUAGCAAAAUCAAGAUGUGUUUGCGGUCCAGUUCAUCUUGCACCAUAUAAUAAUAAUAUAAAAAAAGCCAGAUUUAGGCUAACGAUUCAACAUUUGGGCUCAUCCAUAAAUGGGCUGCUGCCAUUAUAUUUUGGUUUUCUCCCAUAUUCGAUCACUUAGAAUAUCUCAACAGUUAAAUGGGCCGCUUUCGCAAGAGAAAAAUCAACAACUCAACGUCAUGUGCUCCGAUCCAGUCAAGCUGAAUAUGAUUCUAUAAGAUGCGGUCCGAC
rnacentral:lncRNA from 1 species